CAGGAAGUGAAAAAGCCUAAAGAAAAAUUCAUACCUAAUGACAGAGACUCUAUCAGUAAGGCUGACUUGUCUCAGAGUAACAAGUAUCUUUUAGGUGUGAAUAUCCAAAAUGCAUUAGUUGAACGUUGUGUUAAGCUCAUCUCAGCUUGUGGCUGAUGUUGAAGAGGAACUCCGUCUGUUUUUCCCAGAUAAGUCAAGCAAAGUCUUAAG
rnacentral:lncRNA from 1 species